CAGGGCGCGCAGGCGGCGCGGGUGCGCGGUGCGGCGCUGGUAUCCAGAGGACGCGGUCACCGCCUCUGGCAUUUGUCGUUCUGCGCUUCUCCGCAAGGACCCUCUGUUAGGCAGGCGCCCACCGUAAGCCUCCCGGGCCUUGUGAACCUGCAAACCCAAGUCUGAGAGACGAUCCGCCUUCAGCGCUUUCCAGCUUGGCAGAGAGGCUUUCCCGGCGGGGAUCUUUGGUUGGCGCUGGCGAUGCGCGGGGAAGAAAGGCGAGGAGCGGCGUCCAGGCUGGGUGAUGUCCCAGCACGAGUAGGCGGGAUGCGCUCGCUUGGUCCUCCGGGCGCCCGGUCCCUGCCCGCGUCGCGCGCCCACCCCUGGGGACGAGAAGGCGGCCGCCUGAGGACCCCCGCCCGCGACCUCCGCGAGUCUGGAGCGCAGAGGACAGGGUCUGGCUGCUCUUUGGCCUUGGAUGGAAAGUGGGGAAUUGGGUGGGGGGCUGCGGACCCCUUAACGUGGAUUACUUGGUGUGUAUCAGCUGGGCUCAGAAGACCCACGACCUCUUCUCCAUCCGUGGAUUGAUUUGUUCUGCUUAACAGCUGGGUCGCCAAGCUGGAGGUAUUUUUCCCUCUCCACCCUGGUCUUCUCCUGUAACGUGUGGCCGCCUUUUCCAGCACGGCCUCCUGCCUUCCUGGUGCACUUUUUGGAGAACGUGGUGGAAUCAGAGGUUUCUGGCUGACUCGGUGGGUGCUUUGAACCAGGAAAGGACAAGAAAGAGGUCGCUGGUCAGACCUCAUGACUCACUUGGACUCUUGAGCCACCUCUGGGGGUGGAGUCUCUCUCCUGGCAUCUGGACCCUUGGUGCUAUCGACGAAGCUUGGCUGGCGCUCUUAGCUGCUAUGUGCAAGACGUGUGUCCCAGGGAAAGCCCCUCUCUCUCUGCAGAGGUCAAGUGAAAGCCACGGCCGCAGCCAACAGAGUUCAAAAUGCAGGCUUGGAAAGUCCAGGGGGCUCUGUGGAGGUGCCACCUCCUGAGUCCUGGUUCCUGCGGCUCCGUCGAAUCUGCAGUGAAGGCCUUUGGGAAGCGUGGGUUAUGUGGGUCCAGGGGUCCCAUCCUCCCGUGGAGGCCCUUGACCUGAGGAUCACUAACUCACACCCCACCGACUUCCGGCCCCCAACAAGGGCAGUGUUCCUCUUGCUCCAUUCUGCUCUGAAGUCCCCCAAACCGCUUCCUGGGGCUGCUUAGUGAAAUACAAGGCUCAUCUCUGAGGACCUCUACAGGGCUGGAUGGGAAGGACUGAUCCACAUUCCCACCAGGAAGUUUAGCAGAACCCCCGCGUGCCACCUGGACCCCUUGGAAGGACCUGGCUCAGGCUGGACCACCUCUUGAGAGGCAGGAGCUCUGGAUUUGAUCAAGAAUUCUUUGCUGAGCAUGGUGCCUCAUGCCUAUAAUCCCAACACUUUGGGAGGCCAGUGUGGGAGGAUCUCUUGAGCCCAGGAGUUCAAGACUAGCCUGGGCAACACAGAGAGACCCCAUCUCUAAAAUAAUAAUAAUAAUAAAAUAAAAAAUUAGCAGGGCAUGGUGGCAUGUGCCUGUAGUCCCAGCUACCCAGGAGGCUGAGGCAAGAGGAUGGCUGGAGCCUGGGAUGUUGAGGCUGCAAUGAACUGUGAUUACCCCACUGCACUCCAGCCUGGGCAAAAGAGCGAGAGACCCUGUCUCAAAUAAUAAUAAUAAUAAUAAUCUUAUUUUGGAGAAUAAAGAGACCUCUGGAUUUGAGGUGCCAUUUGGGUAGAAAGAAAAGACGUUUACACCGAGAAAUAGUCUGUGUUGCCCUGAAGGAGCAGAGGGAUGCAUCGCUGGAGGUGACCUACAGUUGAAGAAGACUCAUUAUGACAGACCUUGUCCUUCUUCCUUGUGGAAAGUGUUUCCUCUGCUGCUACUGCUCAUGAGACUCUUCCCCCUCCCUGUCCCAGGGAACCAAAGGGCUUUCUACCACACCCUUUCUUGCCCCCCGCCUCCCAUGUCUGCUGUGCCUUUGUACUCAGCAAUUCUUGUUUGCUCCAUUAUCUUCCAGCCGGAUACAGAGUGAAUAGUUAACCACACUUAGGUCAAAUAGGAUCUAAAUUUUUGUUCCUGCUCCGUGUAAAGAGGCCAGUGUUUGUGUGUUGCAAGCAGCCUUGGAAUAGUAACUCUUCUCAUUUGUUUGGGAUCUGGCCACCAAGUUCCAGAAUGAUACACGGAUCAGUGCAGAAGUUCAUCAGGCUCUCGGACCUUAGGGCUGUUGGAGAAGGCUUCAGCAGCAGAACUGAUGGUGAAGGCUCGUGUUCUCCAUCCUCAACUUUCUUUGCUUCGAUCAUACACAAGAAUACAUUUGGAAGGGCAAAAAAUGAACACUGUCGUUCAUUGCAGCCGUGUUUUGUGACACAGAUGCACAGUCUGCUGUGAAGACCUUCUCUCAAGUGGCAUUUGGGAGUCCAUGCCAGAUCAUGGUGCUUCAUGAGAGACUGACAGCUAUCAGGGGUUGUGGCACUUAGUGAGGACUCUCCUCCCCCAGUGUGUGCUGAUGACACAUACACACCUGACAAUAGCUUGAGUCUUCUCUGUUCCUUUUACUCUGUAGCCAACAUACACAUGAUUUAAAACCCUUUCUAAAUAUCUAUCAUGGUUCAUCCUUGUCCAAAUGCAGAGUCAGAGCUAUUUGUACUUCAUUAUUAUUUCCAAGGCGAAUAGUUGGCUUUCUUUUUGCAAAAAUAAUUAAAGUUUUUGUAUGUUGGGUUGGAGUACAGUGGCAUGAUCUCAGCUCACUGCAGCCUCGACUUCCUGGGCUCAAGAAAUCCUCCUGUCUCUGCCUUCCGAGUAGCUGUGAUCACAGUUGUAUGCCAUCAUGCCCAGGCUGGAGUGCAGUGGCGUGAUCAUGGCUCACUGCAGCCUCAACUUCUUGGCCUCUAGCGAUCCUCCCACCUCAGCCUCCUCAGUAGCUGGGACUACAGGCAGGUGCCACUACACCUGGCUAAUUAAAUUUUUUUUUUUUUUUUUUACAGACCAGAUUUCGCCAUAUUGCUCAGGAUGGUCUUGAACUCCUGGGCUCAAGUGAUCCGCCUGCCUUGGCCUCCCAGAAUGCCAGGAUUACAGAUGUGAGCCACUGUGCCUGGCCUGAAGUCUAGUAAUUUUUAAAACUUUGCAUGUUAUUCUGCUCAUGAGCCAAGUUCGGGUGCCUGUGGAACAGCUAUAUUCCUCAAACUAGAUAUGCACCCCAGUCCCUGGGGAUUCUGUCAAAAGGCAGAUUCACAUUCAGCAGGUCUAGGGUGGGGGGCCUGACAUUCGGCACGUCUCACAAGCUCCCAGGCGAUGCUGAUGGUGCUGGUCCCUGGACGCCCUCUUGAGUAGUAAGGAACAAAAGGACUCUCCCCUGUUCUUUUCAGCUACGUAGCCCAGUGGUUCUCCACUUAGGCUUCACACUGGAAUCAUCCAGGGAGUUUUAAACUAUAGUGAUGCCUGGCGGUGUCUUACUCGCAGAGCUUCUGGUUUGAUUGGUCUAGGUUGCAGCCUGGGCAAGGAGAUUUAAAAACUUCUCAGAUGGGCCAGGCAUGGUGGCUCAAGCCUGUAAUCCCAGCACUUUGGGAGGCAGAGGUGGGCGGAUCACGAGGUCAGGAGAUCGAGACCAUCCUGGCUAGCACGGCGAAACCCUGUCUCUACUAAAAAUACAAAAAAUUAGCUGGGUGUGGUGGCGUGUGCCUGUGGUCCCAGCUGCUCGGGAGGCUGAGGCAGAAGAAUGGCCUGAACCCGGGAGGCGGAGCUUGCAGACAGCCGAUCGUGCCACUGCACUCCAGCCUGGGCGACAGAGCGAGACUCCGUCUCAAAAAAAAAAAAAAAAAA
rnacentral:lncRNA from 1 species